GAUCAUGGCUCAGAUUGAACGCUGGCGGCAUGCUUUACACAUGCAAGUCGAGCGGCAGCGCGGGGCAACCCUGGCGGCGAGCGGCGACGGGUGAGUAAUGCAUCGGAACGUAUCCCGUAUGGGGGACAACCCAGCGAAGGCUGGGCUAAUACCGCAUACCCUCGGAUGGUCGCAUGGCCGACCGAGGAAAGAUUUAUCGCUCUAGGAGGGUCUCGCGGCCUAUCAGCUAGUUGUGGGUAACGGCCUACCAAGGCAACGACGGGUAGCUGGUUUGAGAGAACGAUCAGCCACACUGGGACUGAGACACGGCCCAGACUCCUACGGGAGGCAGCAGUGGGGAAUCUUGCGCAAUGGGCGAAAGCCUGACGCAGCAACGCCGCGUGCGGGAUGACGGCCUUCGUGGUUGUAAACCGCUUUCAGCAGGGACGAAAAUGACGGUACCUGCAGAAGAAGCCCCGGCUAACUACGUG
rnacentral:rRNA from 1 species